GACGGAGGGUGCUAGCGUUGUUCGGAAUCAGUGGGCGUAAAGGGCGCGUAGGCGGCCCAUGCCGUCGGCUCGUGAAAGCCCGGGGCUCAACCCCGGAGGUGCGGCCGAGACCCAUGGGCUGGAGGCCGGAGGAGGAGGGUGGAAUACCCAGUGUAGAGGUGAAAUUCGUAGAUAUUGGGUGGAACACCGGUGGCGAAAGCGGCUCUCUCGUUCGGUCCUGACGCUGAGGCGCGAAAGCGUGGGGAGCAAACAGG
rnacentral:rRNA from 1 species